rnacentral:lncRNA from 1 species
AGAAUUCUGGGGAAGGUAGGCAGAAAAGCACCGGAAAGAGUCACCAUGUAAACAGCAAAGAAGUAGCAGGUCCAGGCAUUCUCCGGUAAGCCAAGACCACAUGAAAAUACAUAGAUUAAUAGAAAUGGGUUAAUAAUUAAGACAGAGCUAGCCAGUAAGAAGCCUAAACAGUUUUAUAAUUAAUAUAGCAUCUCUGUGUUCAUUUGGGGCUGAGAAAGGCAGCGGGACCUGUCGGGACAAGAAAACACAGAAACAUCAGUCUUGUGCAGAUCUCCUUUGGGUGAUGACGGUUCGAAUGAUGCCUGGAGGCCUGCAUUCCAUAGCCUCACAGAAAAUAAGUCACACACGCAAAGAAUGCAAGUCAUGUAUGCCUGCAUCUUCCUUCAAAUUCUAGGAAAAGUAAGCAAAACACCAGACAGGGAGGACUGUGGCAGAGAGAGGACACAGCAGUCAGAAGCUCUGGGCUCACAUACCAGCCCAUCGCACGUUUGUUUCCCUAGACCUCACUUUCCUCAGCUGCAAAAUGUUUUGGUAUGGACACCUACGAGGUGGUGGUGGUACACUGAAGAUCAAGUUGGUAGAGAGGGGACCAGGCCGACUCCUUCAAAUCUCGUAAGAAGACAGAACAACAGAGUAGAACAAUAAGGAGACGGUGAGAGUUACCAACCACGACUCAGGUGUCAGGAUGCCACAGCAGACAGAUUUGGCAUGGAUCAAGUAAGAAAUGAGUGACAGCGUUAGUGGACUCAGGAGAGCACUGUUGUCCGCGAUAAGACUUUGUCCGUUUCCUAGUCAUGAAAGCAGCCAUUGAGACAUUCUUAUAGUAACAUCUAGACAAAGGAUCUGAAAGCCCAGAGGAAACAGAAAUGUGCACGUAUCCUUUCCCUCCACUUUCAUCUCAGGACACAAGCCGGGGAGUGAAAAGGCUGCAGGCACGCAAUGGUUCUCCUUCUGAUCUACACAAAAUUGAAAGCACCAUCCUUAAGAGAUUCACAUGUCCUGAUGACAACAGCACGACUCACAAUGGCCAAAUGGAAGGAGUGCCCAAUUGCUCAUCAACAGAAGGCUUGGUAAACAAUAUGUGGCUGCAAAGUUAGACCUCCAGACGUCUAUGGUUAUCUAGUAGCAAGCUCUGCCCUCUGAUCUUCAGACAAGCUUUAUUUGUACAAGCAAGAUAUCACCACAGUGCUUUGUUUGCCAUAGAAAAGACUUUUGUCCCUUCUCCCUUUCUCUACCACCUUCUCUCUUCUCCCCAUGCUUUCUGCUCCACCAACCCCUCGUCCCUCCUCUCAUAAUCCAGUUCUGUGGGAACUUGAUCCAGUACCACAUUUCAGGGCUCUGGCCCAAGAAAGAGGAAGAAAAGAAGAUGAGAGAUCAGAUGUCCCUUCGGGUACCAGAAUGAGCUCCAUGGGCAAAUUCAACAAGGAUCUUGGGAUGAGACUUCCUCUCUCUGCCCAUCACUUUGGAUCUUACUUUGCAAGCCUGCUCUAUAGCCAAAGAGCUGACAGCUGCUGAGUUGCUAUCUUCAGUCAUGAAUAGCAACAGAGCAGGAAGGUGACCUACUGCAGGUCACAGAUUGGGUGGACUCUAGGAACAUGGGACCACUGAGGUGGUUUAAAAGAAAAUUGCCCCCAAAAGGAGUGGCACUCUUAGGGAUUGUGGCCUUCUUAGAGGAAGUGCAGCACUGUGGAGGCGGGCUUUGAAGUCUCUUUUGCUCAAGCUUCCCUCAGUGUGACAGCCAGUCAACUUCCUGCUGCUUGCAAGAUGUAGGACACGCAACUAUUUCUCCUGCACCAUGCCUGCCUGCACCAUUCCUGCCAUGAUGAUAAUGGGUUGAACUUAUGAACUGUGAGGCACCACAAUUAAAUGUUUUCUUUAUAAGAUGUGCCAUGGUCAUAGUGUCUUUUCCCAGCAAUAAAAUCCCUAACUAAGAGAACCACAUAAGACGAUCCAUAGAUUCAUGGUGUUCAGAGCAUGGUUUCUGUACUCAAAUGACCAACACAAGUACACUCACCUGAAAGAGUUGUGUUCAGAGUCCUGCGGGGCAAUGAUCUUAAGAACUAAGGUGCUAG